UACGGAGGGUGCAAGCGUUAAUCGGAAUUACUGGGCGUAAAGCGUGCGUAGGCGGUUAUUUAAGUCAGAUGUGAAAGCCCCGGGCUUAACCUGGGAAUUGCAUUUGAUACUGGGUAACUAGAGUUUAAUAGAGGAGAGUGGAAUUUCAGGUGUAGCGGUGAAAUGCGUAGAGAUCUGAAGGAACACCAGUGGCGAAGGCGGCUCUCUGGAUUAAAACUGACGCUGAGGUACGAAAGCGUGGGUAGCAAACAGG
rnacentral:rRNA from 1 species